GUUAGUGUUUUGGAGUUGAAU
rnacentral:snRNA from 1 species